UGCCAGGGUCAAAUUGGGCUGUGAACCAAGCCUGCCACGUUGGAACCAAGUACUCUGGAAGCAGACUAUGGAUGUUCGACUUACAGGAAUAUGAAAGCGUGACUGCAUGUUGUCCUGCUGCUUCCUAAAUAAUGUCUCCAAGGGAAUUUAAGGAGAGAAAACACUUGGAAAUUCCUCAGUGGAGAAUAUGCCCAAGCAACUUAUCUUCUCAGUACAAAAUCUCACAUUGUGAUGGCUUUCCUAGUCCUUCCAGGAUCUGACUGGAGAAACUCUGCAGGACACAGCCGUUGUUGGACUCAUUGUACACGGGUGGAAACUCAUGGACAAGAGGGGAAGAGAUAGCAUAAAGGCAGCUUUGUUGUCCAACCUUCAGAGUUAAGUAAAUGCCUAACUUCCAUCGAAGCCUCGUAUUAUGGAACCACUCCAGUUGUAAUAGACGAGAACUUCUCCCAGAGUCAGUGUUGCUGCUAACCUCUAAUAGAGCUACCUGGAUGUACAAAUCUCCUUCAGAUCAAUGGGGCUCUCCACUCUGCUCAUAUUUCCUGAAGAUUUAUGAAGUGAGCUUUGAAAGGGAACUUCAUCUUUGACGAAUUCUGGCACCGUGUCCGCAGUAUGACAGGAUGUUUGAGUUUCUUCAGUGGCUUCCAGAUAAUUGCUCUGAAUUUUGCAUUUUGGAUUAAACCUUCUACUAGUAAUUUUUUUAAAAUGUUAACAAAACAUUUCCAGGAGAUUUGGCUUUUACUAAAAAUGAACAGUUUAAUUUCUGCUACACUGCAUUUAAUGUUUAUGUUAUCUGACAGUUCUGUCUGUACCCAGUAUCCCCUCUGAUUCCUUGAUGGGUAUUAAUGAUGAACUGCUUCUCAGGUAUCUAAAAUAUUUAAAUGCCCUGUUGGUCAUGUAAGUGUUUUUGGAGCACAUCAAAGAGCGAGGCAUGCACAGAGGUCUCCCUUGCUCCUAUGCUUUGCUAUUUUCCUUCUUGGUUCUGAAUACUUGAAAACACCUGGAUUGGAAUGGUGCAAAUAAAUGACAUCUGAACAGAAC
rnacentral:lncRNA from 7 species